CCUACGGGAGGCAGCAGUGGGGAAUAUUGGACAAUGGGCGAAAGCCUGAUCCAGCCAUGCCGCGUGUGUGAAGAAGGUCUUCGGAUUGUAAAGCACUUUAAGUUGGGAGGAAGGGUUGUAGAUUAAUACUCUGCAAUUUUGACGUUACCGACAGAAUAAGCACCGGCUAACUCUGUGCCAGCAGCCGCGGUAAUACAGAGGGUGCAAGCGUUAAUCGGAAUUACUGGGCGUAAAGCGCGCGUAGGUGGUUUGUUAAGUUGGAUGUGAAAUCCCCGGGCUCAACCUGGGAACCGCAUCCAAAACUGGCAAGCUAGAGUAUGGUAGAGGGUGGUGGAAUUUCCUGUGUAGCGGUGAAAUGCGUAGAUAUAGGAAGGAACACCAGUGGCGAAGGCGACCACCUGGACUGAUACUGACACUGAGGUGCGAAAGCGUGGGGAGCAAACAGGAUUAGAUACCCUGGUAGUCCACGCCGUAAACGAUGUCAACUAGCCGUUGGGAGCCUUGAGCUCUUAGUGGCGCNGCACGACAUAAGUUAGUACCGCCGUGGGAGGUACGGCCGCGAACGGUUAAAACGUUAAAAGGUAAAGUUAGUACGGCGUGAGACGUGACCGACGGACGACGACGAGGGAGGAGG
rnacentral:rRNA from 1 species